rnacentral:rRNA from 1 species
CCCUAAAGUCUGGGAUACCAUUUGGAAACAGAUGCUAAUACCGGAUAAAAAGCUACUUUCGCAUGAAAGAAGUUUAAAAGGCGGCGUAAGCUGUCGCUAAAGGAUGGACCUGCGAUGCAUUAGCUAGUUGGUAAGGUAACGGCUUACCAAGGCGAUGAUGCAUAGCCGAGUUGAGAGACUGAUCGGCCACAUUGGGACUGAGACACGGCCCAAACUCCUACGGGAGGCAGCAGUAGGGAAUCUUCCACAAUGGACGCAAGUCUGAUGGAGCAACGCCGCGUGAGUGAAGAAGGUUUUCGGAUCGUAAAGCUCUGUUGUUGGUGAAGAAAGAUAGAGGUAGUAACUGGCCUUUAUUUGACGGUAAUUACUUAGAAAGUCACGGCUAACUACGUGCCAGCAGCCGCGGUAAUACGUAGGUGGCAAGCGUUGUCCGGAUUUAUUGGGCGUAAAGCGAGUGCAGGCGGUUCAAUAAGUCUGAUGUGAAAGCCUUCGGCUCAACCGGAGAAUUGCAUCAGAAACUGUCAAUCUUGAGUGCAGAAGAGGAGAGUGGAACUCCAUGUGUAGCGGUGGAAUGCGUAGAUAUAUGGAAGAACACCAGUGGCGAAGGCGGCUCUCUGGUCUGUAACUGACGCUGAGGCUCGAAAGCAUGGGUAGCGAACAGG